UAGGAUGUCCCGCACAACACAGAUGCACGCUGGUUUUCUAGCACAUACUGCUGGGAUUCAACAUAGCCACAGCUGUUACCUUUUAGGAGCUCUUCACAACUUUCUUUUCAGCACUGCAAGCACAUUUGGGAUGAAGUCCAACCUGUUAUGGCCCUUAUCUUUCUCAACUGCAGGAGGUAAUAUCUGGUCAGCAAGUAACAGGACCAGAUCUUUCAGUCCCUCAUACGGCAAACCUUCAGCACUGGACAGCUACUAGGAAAUCGACACACUGGAAACCCAGACACAAAGAAUGCAGGAGUUUGUAAAGAUUUCAGGAGGCUGCUGAACACGUCCAUGUAAAAAC